CUCGUAGGCGGUUGAGUAAGUCGGGUGUGAAAACUCUGGGCUUAACCCAGAGCCGCCAUUCGAUACUGCUCUGACUUGAGUUCGGUAGGGGAGCAGAGAAUUCCUAGUGUAGCGGUGAAAUGCGCAGAUAUUAGGAGGAACACCGGUGGCGAAGGCGCUGCUCUGGGCCGAAACUGACGCUGAGGAGCGAAAGCGUGGGUAGCAAACA
rnacentral:rRNA from 1 species